rnacentral:siRNA from 1 species
AGUGAAAACCUAUGUAAC